CAUAUCUGGCACCCUUAUGCCUUAAUUAGCAUUUGGGAUGUCACAACAGGACAUGAAGUUCUUUUAGGUGCUUGUAUGGGUUUUCAUUCUCUAAACCUUUAAACUUCAUAAGGAAGUGAAUUAGGCUAGAUUUCAGCUCGAAAGUUACGUUCAAAUAUGGACAUAUGAUGCAGAGGGCUACUCGUUGGUAGGCGAUGCUCCCAGCUCCCUUAAUGUGCAUUCUUCGACAAAUUGCUUGAUUUCUACUUUAGUUUCAAUGGCUACACUGCUAUCUGCAAAAAUUAUGUAUUGUUAAUACGUUCUUCUCUUUACUUGGGUCUAUUUCUUUAAACUUUUUGUGAUUUUCUUGAUUUUUUAAUAAUAAAAA
rnacentral:lncRNA from 1 species